rnacentral:rRNA from 14 species
GCAGUGAAGAUGCUGUGUACCCGCACCUAGACGGAAAGACCCCGUGAACCUUUACUACAGCUUGGCACUGAACAUUGAACCUACAUGUGUAGGAUAGGUGGGAGGCUUUGAAGCACAGUCGCUAGAUUGUGUGGAGCCGUCCUUGAAAUACCACCCUUGUAUGUUUGAUGUUCUAACAUUGUUCCCUUAUCGGGAAUGUGGACAGUGUCUGGUGGGUAGUUUGACUGGGGCGGUCUCCUCCCAAAGAGUAACGGAGGAGCACGAAGGUGCGCUAAGCAUGGUCGGAAAUCAUGCGGUUAGUGUAAAGGCACAAGCGCGCUUGACUGCGAGACUGACAAGUCGAGCAGGUACGAAAGUAGGUCAUAGUGAUCCGGUGGUUCUGUAUGGAAGGGCCAUCGCUCAACGGAUAAAAGGUACUCCGGGGAUAACAGGCUGAUACCGCCC